rnacentral:lncRNA from 1 species
GGCAUGCGUACAGCCCGGGUUCUAUCCUCAGCACCACAUGCAAAACAAAGAUGUUGUGUCCGCCAAGAACUAAGAAAUAAAUAUUAAAAGAAAAAAAAAAAGUUCUCUUUAAGUUGCCCAGGCUAGCUCCUCUUUCCUCAGCUUCAGUUGAGGUUACAGGUGUGUGUCAUUGUCUGGCAUAAUUUUUUUUUUUAAAUAUUUUUUUUUUAAUUGUAGUUGGACACAAUAGCUUUAUUUUAUUUAUUUAUUUUGUGUAGUGCUGAGAAUCGAACCCAGGGGGUUGUACUAUGUGAGCGCUCUACCGCUGAGCCACAACCCCAGCCUCCGCACCCCCCCCCCCGCAUAAUCUUUUAAGAAUCAGCCUGUUAUUCCUAAGCUUAAAACCUGAAGCUUCCAGUUAUUCUAAGAUUAAAAAUGAAAUUUCUUAACAGAGCUUAAAGACUUGCCAUAAACUUACCUCUUCAGAUUUCUUGUAUAUAGUUUUUCCCUGCCACAGAGCUGCCUUUCUGGAUCCUAAUGGCAUCUUACUUAGGAGCCUUCACAUGUGCUGCCUUCUCCACUUUGUUGUAACCACACUCCCAUGUCAGUCCUUGUGAUUUGUUCUUUUGGUGUGCUGGGGAUCUGGAACCCAGGGCCUUGUGAAUGCUUGGCAAGCUCUCCACUUAGCUACAUCUCAACCUUUUCGAAAAACUUAGGGUCCUGCUAAGUUGCUUAAGCUUGCUAUAUCACUGUAAUAGUUUUCACUCCAUAGUACUUACCAAAAAUGUAAUUAAGGUUUGCUUCUCCUAUUAGGAAUGUUCAGUUCCAUUUAUUACUAUAUCCCCAGAUUCUGGCGUACAGUAGGAGUUCAUUCAGUUGAUAAAGGAAUUUAGGAGCUUUUAGUGUGAGAAGUCAUGGAACUCUGAAGUGUAGUCUACAACAAGAAACUUGGUCUUGGUGAAUAAAAGGAUUUCUACAACAUGCAAUUUCUCAUGUAAGAACUGAGGUUUAGACAUAAAUACAUUUGUCCCUACCUCAGUAAAUUUUUAAAAAUAUCUUUAUUUUUAUGUGGUGUUGAGGAUCAAACCUCACGCUUGUGAGGCCAGUGCUCUACCACUGAGCUACAACCCCAGCCCCUCAGGAGUUCUUUAACUGGCUAAAAACUUAAUCCUUUGGAGGGAUACAGGGCUAUUCUUUCUUUCUCUCUCUCCCUUCCUUCCUUCCCUCCCUCCCCCAUCUUCCUUCUCUUUUCCUUUCAGUACUGGAGACUGAACCUAGGAGUGCUUUACCACGGAGAUACAUCCCCAGCCCUUUAAAAAAAAAAAUCAUCAAAUAGGAUCUAAGUUGCUGAGGCUGGCCUGAAACCUGUGAUCCUGUUGCCUUAGCCCCGAGUUACUGGAUUACAGAUAUGCACCCGCCACAUCUGGCAAAUAUGUUGGUCAAAACCUAACCUAACAUUAGAUUGUGGUGGCUGGCUAUGCCUGGUAUCACGCACAUCAAUCAUGAAAAAAUCCCAGCAUAUCUUUGCCUUCUUUUCUUUUGUUACAUGGACAGUCCUGUCAGUCCUGUGUCCCCAUUGAAGCUAAUCUGGGCCCUAGUUAUAUGAAAUACACUAGUUGGAAAAGUGGGCAUGGAUCUUUUUUUUUUUUUUUUUAAAGAGAGGGGGGAGAGAGAGAGAGAAUUUUUUUUAAUAUUUAUUUUUUAGUUUUUGGCGGACACAACAUCUUUGUUUGUAUGUGGUGCUGAGGAUCGAACCCGAGCCGCACGCAUGCCAUGCGAGCGCGCUACCGCUUGAGCCACAUCCCCAGCCCCCCGGCAUGGAUCUUUAUAUCACCACAUCCUUAGGCCCUUGUCUCCCAAAUCAGGGAAAACUUCUGUUUCACUGAACCCUGCCAGGACUAUUUUAAGCAUAAAAUGGGAGGGCUGAAGGGUGUAGCUCAGGGGUGAAGUGUGUCCUUAGCAUGCUCUAGGCCCUGGUUUGAUCCCUAAGGUAGGGAGAAUGUGGGAAUGCUACAAUUGUAGGUAAAAUUUCACAUGUAGCCAGAAGUAAUAUGUCACAAUAAAGCUUAAGCAUGGUUGAAUCCAUCAUUAAGUAUUCAUUUUAUGGGGACAGAAC